UGGGGAGGUGUAGCUCUUAGCGUGACUUCCUAAAUUUGCACCCACAGUGGCAAAAAAAUCGCUUUAAACUCCACGUAGACUGACUUUCUGGAUAAGGUUCCUGUGCGGAAGAUGAAGAAGUGUGAUUCCACUGUGAUAAUGUCAGUCCUCAGAGUGCGGAAAAUCACUGUGCAGUGCACUUGGAGUGAGGCCCCCGUGAGCAGAAGAUGCUGCUGGUGCGGCCCCUCGCCUGAGGAGAGUCUGGAGAGUGGCCGGAGUGCAAGGAGGCGGAUGAGUAUUUGCUCGCAGCUGAAGCCACUCGCUGUGUGCUGUCACACUAAAGGUGUUUCUUCUCACAAGGGCCGUGUGGGGCAGCCCUCACCCCACAAGGACUCACUUUUGUAUCUGCAAGCCAUGGUAGAGAGGCUGAUAAACCAAAGCAGAUACUACGUUCAACUGAUUUCAUUCUUGCCGGUUCUGAACUUCUUGGAGCCAAAUUAGACACCAAGGAAUUGAAAUACUCGGUCAUGGGGUCACCUUAACAAACAUACGAGGAGCUCUUGCCCUGAAUGAGUGGGUAAAGAAGUGGGUAUCACAUAGAAGAAGAUUAUGGGAGAGUCUUUAAAUAAACCCAUGAGAGGAAAAGGAGACUCUGGAAUCCUUGAUCCGACAGCAUACUAUGGGAGGAGACUCACAGACACAAAGAAACUUUAGAAGGCCAGUGUGGCUUCUUGGCUGGGGCUACCAUUCUGUCUCCCAAAAUAUAUGAUGCAAAAACUAUAAUGAUAAGUAUUGCUCUAAACGGCUAUUCUAGUAUGACCCUAAAUAAAUACUAAAUCACUGAUUGAAACACAA
rnacentral:lncRNA from 1 species